rnacentral:lncRNA from 1 species
UGACAUGGACGUGACAUGGGCGUGAGACGUGACAUGCGUUGUGUUGUGAGAUACAGGCAAGACAUGGCUUUGGCUGUGGAGUCUUCCGAGAAGAAGCUAAAAACCCCGUGGAAACCUCAAGUCUGACAGUCAAGCUACCUUGAUGCCCAGCUCUGCUCAGAUCCGAGUAGGACUCUACCCGCAACGGCCACUCCCCUCACUGGAGUAGCAUUUAUACAAGAGAUGCCUGUACAUUCGCUGACAAGAAACCCAGGACCUGUUGCUUUGAACUAAGUGUGGGAUGGGUUGUUGAGUUGGGAAGGAGGGGACCUGACCUCAGCAGCUUCAUGGCACGUUGUCAGGGCCCAGGGGCCACAGCUGUGCACCUGAGAACAAAGCCGGCAACUUCCUCCAAACAGGGUGAGUGCUCUGCAGGUCAUAGCUGCACCCGGGCCUUUGGCCUUUUGCCCAGACCCGAAUCACCUGGAGUUUCAUCCGAAGGCCUCUGCUGAGCUGACUUUGAGAAGUAAAGACACUAUUGUUCAAUAUGGCAAGGUGGUAUCCCAUCAAAUCUGUUCUGAUGCCUGCACCUAUGAUGAGCACACACACACACACACACACACACAGAGGCUAGCAUAUGCAGGGCUGGGCAGAGAGCUGUGUGUACCCUCAAGGCACCCAUUUCCAGGGCCAGCAGCUUUUCCCAAAUCCAGAUCUGCCUGUGACUCAGUGUAUCAAUCUCCAGGGGACACUUUACACUAUUGGGUGUUGGGCCCACUAUCAAGGGGUUUUGACCCUAUUGGUUCUGAUGGGGCCACAUUUACAUGUCCCAGAAGUACAGCAGCAGAGGACAUUCCUCACCUGCCUGUGUCUGACACCACCAGCAGCAUUCCAGGGUCCAGGGUCCUCCAGGC